UGCUAGUGACAUUUUCGGUCACUGACCAAUGAGCUCACUUGUACAAACUGAAAAUCGAAAUAGUACUCUGUAAUCCUCCAGAUAGAACAAUGUAUAAUACAUGUUGUACAUCAUGCAUACCAACUGUUGGAUGAAUUACCUCAAUAAAGAACGUUUUGUGUGGAUCUCACUUGUGGGACCAUCUUUCUCUAUCGAUGAAUGGGCACACAUGGAUGUAUGGUUGAAGACUAUACCAUUGAUGCCCCUUUGGAUAAAAGUAGAGCUGGUUUGACCAUUUAAACUUUCCUUUCAUCAUUAUGUGUUUUUACACCUUAUAGAUUUGAUGAACUUUAACCAUUUUUGCUUUUAGCCCUGUUUGAGGGAUACCAUUCCUAUGAUAAAAAUGCAAUUGCCAAAGUAAUUUUCAGUCUGUCCAGAUACAUAAGGAUCCAUCAGAGGGAUGUUUCAGAUCAUCAAAAUAUACAAUCAUGUGUGCUUGGCUUGUCCAUAAUUGCUUGAGCCAAGAAAUGGACCUCAACCACCAAUUAUCCUUAUGUCGAAUGCUUACAUAGAUGCAUUGAGAUCGGAAAGCCUCGAGCGUGUGCAACCCAGCUCUCUUACAAUCCAACACAGGCCUGGCUAGAAGGUGUGCAAUAUCCAAGCUUUCCAUCAGGUGGUUCCCCACUUCUUGAUGCCACGGUCCAAAAAUCAGGCAAGUCCAUUCCAUAUGCUUAUUCAAAGUGGAAGUAACUAUAUAGAGUGUAGGCUUAGGGGUCCACAAUGCUUACAUGGAUGCAUGAUCAAAGCUGCUCAUCAGGUACAAGCCACUAUAUGGCUUUCCUUGUGCUGAAUUCAAGUCCAUCCAUAUUGAGUUGCAUGCUAGUUAAUGCUUCUGUAAAAAGGCUCAUAUUGAGUUGCAUGCUAUGAUGCUUAUGAUGCAGUUUUAUCCUUGAAGAAAAAGGGAAGAAAAAUCUGUCCACAUAUUUAUAUAAAAAAAAAUCCAUAGCUAUUCUCCUCCAUCUGCUAGUUACAGGUGGAGCAUUGGUAACAGACGGGGGCUUUGCUGAUUCAUAUGGGGAUGGAUAUGGACUUCAUUCAGUAUGGUUGUUUUUGCAGAAAAUAUUUAUGACUGAAAAUUUAAUUUUAGAUUGUGUAAUUCAGAUUAUGAGUGUACAUACUGUUUUAUUACUUGACCUCUAUGCAUGGCAGGGUGGUGCUGACAAAGGUCCUCUAUAUGGCAUGAGUUCUGGUUUUUGGGGUGCAUUUGAGAAGUCUCGCCUUGGGUGUCGUUGAAGUCCGUUGAUUUUUUUAUUUCCUUUUGCUUUUCCUUGUAGCUCAAUUUGUAAAUUUUAUGUCCAUUAUGUAACCUUUUAUUCUCAGGCCCCCUGUAAAUGAGGCUGGCUGUAAAUGAUUUACAGGUUGUGUUUAAAUGCUAAUUUAAGCCUGUAAAGGUCUUUUGAUUUAGAAGAUUCAGCCUAGCAGAA